rnacentral:lncRNA from 1 species
AUGAUGUGGAGGCCCUGGGAACAGGUUCUCAGGCGGCGAGGGGUCCCCACCAUGAGCAAACCACCCCAAAUCUGUUAAUCACCCACCGGGGCGGUCCCGUCGAGAAAGGGUGGGAAAUGGAGCCAGGCGCUCCUGCUGGCCGCGCACCGGGCGCCUCACACCAGCCACAACGGCCUUGACCCUGGGCCCCGGCACUCUGUCUGGCAGAUGAGGCCAACAUCUGGUCACAUCCCGCCCGCACAGGGUGGAGGGCAACCUCGGGGUCCAGGCACCUGGCUCCAAGCCUCGGACUGCAGAGCUAGGAGGCCCGACUUCCAGCCCAGCAGUAGAAGCCACACGGCCACUGGUCCCCUCCAGACCUGGGGCCCCGGCACAACCGCAGGACAGCUGAGGACUUCCCAGGAAUCCAGACUCCGGGUUGCUCAAGUUUGGAUCUAAGGGGCGAGAAACUUCUGGGUCUCCCGAGGCCUUGCAGGGAUGCUGUAGCUGAGGUCGGCAAACACUGAAAUGCUAACAAACGCAACCUUAAAUGUAACCUUUCCUACUUUCAGAAACUGCCGGAGGAAAUUGCUUUAUUUAUGGAGCUAGCAUUUGAACAGGCCUCGCACCCUCCCUGGGCUGUCACGCUCGCUGGAGGUUAGCCUCGUCUUGUAAAUACUUAGGAUUACAGGUCGCUCUUCUAGAAAUCCCCUUAGUGAUCCCUAAGCCUUUUUAAAGGGCUGUGUUUGUGAAUUGUCUCUGCCACUAGGGCAAAGGGGCGGUUUGGAAAAUUUGUUCCAACAAAAGUUAAGUUGUAGCUUACACUGGUUCUCUGCAGAGAAGCCAACAUAGAAAACACAAUUUUAAAAGAGGGAAGAGAAGAAAUGGAAGCAGAAGAUUAUGCUGGAGUAAUUAACACCAUGUGCAUGGCGAGGAAACGCCUCCCGGCAUUCAAUGAAGAUCGCUGAUACCCAGAAGACACCCCAGUAUUAUGGGUGCAGUUAGUGUGUCUUUGAAAAGCUGAUGAUGUCUUAGUCAUCACAGUGUAAAACAUCAAGAGUGUUCUAACAACAAUAAAAAAAUUCUAUCAUUGGCUUAAAACACCACAACACUUGAGUGGGGUGAGCUUCCUACCUCAGACCCAGAUGUUUCUA